GGAGAAAUUAUGACCGAGAGCCUGACACCUGAUGCUAGCGGCUUUUGUCUCGCCAAGUUGACCCAGUAUUUGGCCACCUUGUGCGGCGGGUGACUAUGGUGUCCAGGUAUAUAUAUGUAUUACCUGAAAGCCCAGGGCAGUUGUUGCCUUGGGUCAUGCAGAGAAUAUGCAGCCACACCCAUGCCUUAGAUGUGUGUAAUUCAAGUGGAGAAGACACAAGCCAGUGGUCGCAAUAUCAACACUUGAGUGUUCUGUAAACGGAUUGGUGUCAGCAGAAAACCAACAGUGAUGUGGUGGCACACAGUGAACUGACAGGACCCAGGCAGCAGCGGUUCUUUUGGUGGCAAUGGUGCCAUGUCAUGGGUACUCUCCUUGCUGAUGGCAGAUACCGACAGGCAAACUGUUGCCUUGCGUUUAGCUCUGUUAACCAUUGACAGUAAGAUUUAUCAGAGGUUGCAGCUGCACAUGGCCAUGAGGUAAACCUUGCCCCUGUUUGAAAUUGAGUUUCAUCAGCUUCUACAUGGGAUUAUAAGGACUUGGAAUAUAUCACAGACCCAGCAGGGUUUCCCCCCUCAUUUUUUUUUUUUAAGAUUUAUUUUUCUUCCUAAAGAUAACAUGCUUAAACAAAGUUCUUUAUGGUUAGUAACUGUGAUGCUUGAAGUUGGUUAUCCCUUACUCCAGUAAAUUUUAAAUGUCAAAGAUAUCUUGUUAAAUAAAAAAAAAAC
rnacentral:lncRNA from 1 species